UUAGAGGAAGUAAAAGUCGUAACAAGGUCUCCGUUGGUGAACCAGCGGAGGGAUCAUUAUAGAGUUUUCUAAACUCCCAACCCAUGUGAACUUACCUUUUGUUGCCUCGGCAGAAGUUAUAGGUCUUCUUAUAGCUGCUGCCGGUGGACCAUUAAACUCUUGUUAUUUUAUGUAAUCUGAGCGUCUUAUUUUAAUAAGUCAAAACUUUCAACAACGGAUCUCUUGGUUCUGGCAUCGAUGAAGAACGCAGCGAAAUGCGAUAAGUAAUGUGAAUUGCAGAAUUCAGUGAAUCAUCGAAUCUUUGAACGCACAUUGCGCCCAUUAGUAUUCUAGUGGGCAUGCCUGUUCGAGCGUCAUUUCAACCCUUAAGCCUAGCUUAGUGUUGGGAAUCUACUUCUCUUAGGAGUUGUAGUUCCUGAAAUACAACGGCGGAUUUGUAGUAUCCUCUGAGCGUAGUAAUUUUUUUCUCGCUUUUGUUAGGUGCUAUAACUCCCAGCCGCUAAACCCCCAAUUUUUUGUGGUUGACCUCGGAUCAGGUAGGAAUACCCGCUGAACUUAAGCAUAUCAAUA
rnacentral:rRNA from 1 species